AUUUAUAUGCAGGUAUUAUUAUCACAGUAGCCAACAAGCUAAUGUGGAACAUACAUUUGUAGUCAUAAUUUUAUGAUUUUGUGACUUAUAACAACCAGCAAAUUUGCUAUAUUUCAACAAAUUAGCAAUAAGCAUCAACAAGAAUUGUAAAAUAAGAUAAUGAAUGUAAAUGUACAUUCAUUAGUUUUUCUCUUCAGCAGCAUAAAGCCUUUUGAUCUCCUCCACAUCAUCGUAACUACCAAGGAAUAUUGGCGCCCUUUCGUGUAUCUUCGUAGGAACUAAGUCCAGUGCCCGCUCCUUUCCAGUAAAUGCUUGACCUCCUGCUUGUUCCAUCAGAAAUGACAUGGGAAAUACUUCAUAGAGAACCCGUAGCUUCCCAUUGGGGCUUUUCUUAUCAGCUGGGUACAAAAAGAUACCUCCGUAGAGUAAUGUACGAUGAACAUCAGCUACCAUGCUUCCGAUAUAUCUUAAAGAUUUGGGUGAAGAACCAUCCGUGGGGAACUUGCAGCUCUCCACGUAUUUAGAUGUUGGACCAUCCCAGUUCUUGGCAUUUCCUUCAUUCACUGAAUAAAUCUUUCCUUUCUUCGGAAUCUUGAUAUCUGGAUGAGUUAAGAUGAACUCGCCUAAAGAGGGGUCAAGUGUAAAACCAUUAACACCUUUUCCAGUGCUCAAGACAAGCGUACAAGAACUUCCAUACAUGCAGUAUCCAGCAGCUAACAUAUUCUUUCCAGGUUGCAAGACGUCUUCUAGGUUAGGUUCGUGGCUGUCAUUCAAGUGAUAAAUUCCAAAAAUCGUUCCAAUGGAAACACCACAGUCAAUGUUGGACGAUCCAUCCAGCGGAUCAAACACCACAGAAUACCUUCCACGGCGAGAUGGCUCGACAUAUGUUGGCUCUUCAUCUUCUUCGGAAACAAGGAUACAAGUUCUGCCACUGCUGACCAAAGCCUUGAUAAAGACUUCAUUUGAGAGCACAUCCAGUUUCUUUUGCUCU
rnacentral:misc_RNA from 1 species